rnacentral:rRNA from 1 species
UACGUAGGGGGCAAGCGUUGUCCGGAGUUAUUGGGCGUAAAGAGCGUGUAGGCGGCCUGAAAGGUCAGCUGUGAAAACUCGAGGCUCAACCUCGAGACGUCGGUUGAAACCAUCUGGCUAGAGUCCGGAAGAGGAGAGUGGAAUUCCCGGUGUAGCGGUGAAAUGCGCAGAUAUCGGGAAGAACACCCGUGGCGAAGGCGGCUCUCUGGGACGGUACUGACGCUGAGACGCGAAAGCGUGGGGAGCGAACAGG